rnacentral:rRNA from 1 species
GGCGAACGGGUGAGUAACACGUGGGUGAUCUGCCCUGCACUCUGGGAUAAGCCUGGGAAACUGGGUCUAAUACCGGAUAGGACCAUGCUUUAGUGUGUGUGGUGGAAAGUUUUUCGGUGUAGGAUGAGCCCGCGGCCAUCAGCUUGUUGGUGGGGUAAUGGCCUACCAAGGCGGCGACGGGUAGCCGGACUGAGAGGUUGGUCGGCCACAUUGGGACUGAGAUACGGCCCAG